UACGUAGGGUGCAAGCGUUGUCCGGAAUUAUUGGGCGUAAAGAGCUCGUAGGCGGUUUGUCGCGUCUGCUGUGAAAACUCGGGGGCUUAACCCCGAGCCUGCAGUGGAUACGGGCAGACUAGAGGUAGGUAGGGGAGAAUGGAAUUCCCGGUGUAGCGGUGGAAUGCGCAGAUAUCAGGAGGAACACCGGUGGCGAAGGCGGGUCUCUGGGCAGUAACUGACGCUGAGGAGCGAAAGCGUGGGGAGCGAACAGG
rnacentral:rRNA from 1 species